rnacentral:rRNA from 1 species
CUACGGGUCGCUCCAGUAAGGAAUAUUGCGCAAUGGAGGCAACUCUGACGCAGCCAUGCCGCGUGCAGGAAGAAGGCCUUAUGGGUCGUAAACUGCUUUUAUUUAGGAAUAAACCCCCGAACGUGUUCGGGGCUGAAGGUACUAAACGAAUAAGCACCGGCUAACUCCGAGCCAGCAGCCGCGGUAAUACGGAGGGUGCAAGCGUUAUCCGGAUUUAUUGGGUUUAAAGGGUGCGCAGGCGGGCUAUUAAGUCAGUGGUGAAAUCCCGGGGCUCAACUCCGGAACUGCCAUUGAUACUGAUAGUCUUGAGUUUGGUUGAAGUGGGCGGAAUGCAGCAUGUAGCGGUGAAAUGCAUAGAUAUGCUACAGAACACCAAUCGCGAAGGCAGCUCACUAAGCCAAAACUGACGCUCAUGCACGAAAGCGUGGGGAUCAAACAGGAUUAGAUACCCGUGUAGUC